UCCACCCAUACCCACUAUUACUUCAGCAGGGACAAUGUCAAGUUCAUUGGCUACUGGGAAGCCACCUGCAAGUGGUAUGGAAUCUCUUCCUGGGCUUGCUAGUAUACCCAAUAUUGAAGCUGUUAAACGUGCUCAGGAGCUUGCUGCUAAAAUGGGGUUCCGACAGGAUCCUGAGUUUGCUCCUCUUAUAAACUUGUUCCCUGGCCAGGUGCCAGCAGAAGUUUCUGUACCACAGAAGCCUACCAAGGUCCCUGUUCUUCGUAUAGAUGCACUUGGUCGGGAAAUAGAUGAACAUGGAAAUGUAGUUAAUGUGACUAAGCCAAGCAACCUUAGCACCCUAAAGGUAAACAUUAACAAGCAGAAAAAGGAUGCAUUUCAGAUUCUUAAACCUGAAUUGGAAGUGGAUCCUGAAUCAAAUCCUCACUUUGAUCAAAGAAUGGGCAUAAAUAAGAAUAAGCUUUUGAGGCCCAAACGGAUGAGUUUCCAGUUUGUAGAGGAAGGGAAAUGGUCGAAGGAAGCUGAAAUGAUGAAAUUGAAGAGUCAAUUUGGAGAAGAAAGGGCAAAAGAUAUGAAGGCAAGACAAGCGCUGCAUGCAAAGGCAAAAGCGGCUCCUGAUAUAAAUCCCAAUUUGAUAGAGGUAUCAGAGAGAGUUAUAAUUAA
rnacentral:misc_RNA from 1 species